GCCGAAUGUGAUUGUGAAUAACACAUGCAGCUAUAACAAUGUCCCUUUGUGUGUUAAAAGCAUAUUGAGGGGCAAGUUUCAGAAUUGGAAAUCUCGUUUUCAGCACCUCAAAAGAUUUCUGAAUGGCAUUUCUGAGUGAUGCAUGCCGGUGGUUAAAUAACUCCUUUGCACUUCUAGGUAAUAGAUUAGCACCCCGAUAUUCAUGAAGAUGAC
rnacentral:lncRNA from 1 species